rnacentral:rRNA from 1 species
UACGUAAGGGGCAAACGUUAUCCGGAAUUAUUGGGCGUAAAGCGUCCGUAGGUGGCGUAGUAAGUUUGUCAUUAAAUACCGGUGCUUAACAUCGGUGCUGUGAUAAAAACUGCUACUGCUAGAGGAUGGGAGAGGUAUAUGGAAUUGUGCAAGUAGGGGUAAAAUCCGUAGAUAUGCACAGGAACACCAAAAGCGAAGGCAAUAUGCUGGACCAUUCCUGACACUAAAGGACGAAAGCGUGGGGAGCGAAACGG